rnacentral:sRNA from 1 species
ACGAUGCCUCUGAGUCCUUUAGUCUUUCAACAAGCUCUAACUUCGAAAAGUCAACAUCAAUCCUGAAGCUCUCAUCGAAUCCAGUCUCAUCGCGGUAGAUGCUGUCCUCCUUUCUGACCGGUCCAACAGAAGAGCUUGACAUGGAGGGAAAGGAUAGAAUUGGGUAUCACAGGGUUGAAGCGAGUUGUUUCAGGAUCGUAGAAUCGUGGUAGCUGGUGGUAUGAGCAAAGACAAGACACUGGAUGUUGUUGUUGGGAUCUUUGUUGAUACUUCCAGGGUUUUUGGGUUGGGUCAGUUACACGUGAUGAGGUACUGAGGGAUGCGCAUAAUGUAUUUCACCACUUAAUCGGACACACCACUUACUCAGACACUUGAUCACAUGAUAUAGUCUAGUUUAGUAAGCACC